rnacentral:rRNA from 1 species
CAGCCGCGCGGUAAUACGAAGGGUGCAAGCGUUACUCGGAAUUACUGGGCGUAAAGCGUGCGUAGGUGGUGGUUUAAGUCCGUUGUGAAAGCCCUGGGCUCAACCUGGGAAUUGCAGUGGAUACUGGGUCACUAGAGUGUGGUAGAGGAUAGUGGAAUUUCCGGUGUAGCAGUGAAAUGCGUAGAGAUCGGGAGGAACAUCAGUGGCGAAGGCGGCCAUCUGGGACAACACUGACGCUGAGGCACGAAAGCGUGGGGAGCAAACAGGAUUAGAGACCCCCGUAGUCCCUGUCUCUUAUACA